AUGCCUUUGAUAUGUCUUGGUGCUAUACCAUGUGUUUGGUUUUUGUGCUUGUGAUUAUUGUUGUUGUUUUAUCUUUUCUCCACUUAUAUGAUACAAAGGUUGUUUUAGCCAAAAUUUGGCAAAGGGGGAGAUUGUUAGUUUUGUGUUUUUAUGAUUGGCAACAAAUUUGUUAAAACUUGUAUCACAACAAGAUGUUGAGAAACAUGUUGUGAC
rnacentral:lncRNA from 1 species